ACCACCUCAAUCGCUGACUAAGUUAACUCCCGAGGGUUCCUGAAAAGGCGAUUAGGGUCUACUGUUCGCUCUUUGCGAUUUCAAUCCGAAUUCUUCGGUAAAUCUUUUCUUUUACCACAAAAAUUUACUACCACAACUUCACUUAAGCAAGAUGGAUCGAGAUCUAUGGAAAGCUAUGCAAAACUUAAACAUUGGAUCAAAUCUCCAACCACUCCGACUCUCGAGAGACACCCAAAGAAAAAGUGCAACUGCGAAUCGUCUAAGUCUAGUGGUUAGAGGAUUAAACCCCGCGCAUCAAAACCUUACCGGAAUGCGUAACACACUUCCGUAAGCUUGGAGACUCCACAAUCGAGUUCGAGGUCAGAUAAAUGAUGACGGUACGAUUCAGUUCUUUUUCACAGAGGAACACAAUCUCUUAUAUGUUAUAGAUAGGGGUCCUUGGUCCUUUAAAGACUAGAUGGUUGUCAUGGAUCCUUGGUUUAGAAGAAGAAGCCCAAGCUUCCUUACUACAAUAUCCUUCUGGGUUCAAAUCUAUAACAUACCGAAUGAAUACAGAAACCAGGGGGUGGUAAAAGAAAUAGGAAGAGAAUUAGGACAGCUAGAAGGUCUCAGAAUAGUGGAGCCCACAAGAGACAAUCUAUCAGAGGUUUGGGUUAGAAUAAGAUUUGACGCUUACCAGCCGCUUACCUUCUCGCGAUACAUCCAGUUUGAAGAAGGAAGAGACCCAGUACUACUCCGCUUCGAAUAUGAAAAGCUAAAAAAGUUCUGCAUAAGAUGCGGGAGACUAACACAUGAAGAGAGGGAAUGUGGACAUGCUCUUCCUCAGCCUCAACAACUCAUCGAACAGAAUGAAGAGGAGCAAAUAAUCCAACCAGUGAAUCUACAAGUACAAGAUCAAGAGGAAGCUCUGGGUGAAAAUGAACAAAUCUUGCCUGAACAGGAAGACGAUGAAGCGCCAAUAGAGCAAGUUAAUCACGAUGAGGAGGAAAACAUUGAUCAAGUCCACAUUGCCGAGUAUAUGCAGGACGUUACUCAGCCGCUUCUCAACCAUGGAACCCCUGUUUCUAUCCCUGGUAUCACUGGACCCACCACAACGUUUGAGAUAGGUUCUUCCUCUGGUGCAGAUAGAGGAUCAAAAAGAAAGCUUGAAGACAUCACCUCUGAAGACUCUUACCCAUUCACAAGACAAAGACAAAGACUUGAAGAGACUAAUGAUGAGGAAGGCUUGGUGGUAGCCAUAAUACCACCACAGGAUCCAUGAGAGUAAUGCACUGGAAUUGUCAAGGGUUAAAGAGGAACCCCUUGAAAAUUCCCUACCUAAAAGACAUCAGGGAAGUCUUCUAAACCUGAUGUCUUGUUCCUCACCGAAACUAAAAACGGCAUAAGUUACGUUAAAAACAUCGGAUCAGAGCUAGGCUAUGCUCAUAGCUAUGUUUUACCUUCUGAAGGUCUAAGAGGAGGGUUAGCUAUUUUUUGGGAAUAUCAUAUCAGUUUGAGUUUUAUGAAGAAGCCUUCACUUCAUCAAACUGAUAUAUGCAUAUCGGAAGCAGGAAAUCCUACCUUGUACAUAACCUAUAUAUAUGGCAAUCCAUAUCAAAGGCUGAGAAACCUGCACUGGAAGAAGUUGACUCGUAUAAGGGAAGCUGGAAUCGUCAACAACAAACCGAGAGUGGUCCUUGGUGAUCUUAAUGACAUAAAAAGCAAUGAUGAGAAAGAUGGUGGGCCGAGAAGAGAUGAGUACACGUUCAAUACAUUCAGGAGAAUGCUCAACACUUUAGGUCUCCAUGACUUAAGAACAGUGGGAGGUCAGUACACAUGGAUGGGUCAAAGAAAACAAUAUACUAUACAAUCAAAGAUAGAUAGGGUGGUAGCUAAUGCGGAGUGGCAAGAUUUAUUCCCAAAAGCAUAUGUCAAACUAUUUGAUUGGAUAGGAUCUGACCAUAAGCCACUUCUUCUCAAUACAUGAGACAGAAAAUGGAAAAGAACAAGACUCUUCAUAUAUGAUAACAGAUGGAGAUUCAACAAAGAAGUUCAAAAGGAGAUUCAACUCACCUGGGAGGCAAAGUGUCAGCACUUACCUGGUAGCCGCUUCCAUAUUGCUCUCAAGAGAUGCAGAUCAAGUCUAGCCAGAUGGAAGUCAAAAUCCGCUACAAACUCAGCAAAGAAGAUUGAAAAGCUGAAGAAUCUCCUAAAAUCUGCGUCAACUCAAGAAAUCAUGAAGCAUCUAAAGCCCAAGGUCACAGACGAAAUUAACAAGGACCUCACCAGACCUGUCAUAGAAAAUGAACUCUUCCAAGCUAUCUGACAGAUGGACUAAAUCCAGGCUUCUUCAAAGAUCAUUGGGAGACAAUAAAAACAGAAGAAGGAGAAUGCAGGGAACUAAUGCAAAUCUUGCAAAUCUAUGAAAAUGCUUCAGGAAAAGAAGUUCUUCUGAAAGCCGUUGCAACAGCCAUUCCAGCAUAUAAUAUGUCUUGUUUCCUCUUGCCCAAAAGAGUACUAAAUCAAAUGACAAAAGCCAUGAGAAAAUUCUGGUGGUCAAGCGCCAAAGACAAACAGGGGAUACCUUGGAAAGUAGCUCAUAACUCAAUCUCAACUGCAGAGAACUUGCACAAAAGAAAGAUGGUGGCAGAUAGCACAUGUCAGCUAUGCGGUGAACAUCAGGAGACAACGAACCAUCUAAUCUUCCAAUGCAGAGUCAGUAAGGAAAUAUGGAGCAUGACACCAUCCAUCCAAAUACCAAGUGAUAACUUAUUAAGUAACUCAUUGAUAGAAAACAUGGUUCAUGGACGUCACCAACGAACAAUGCUGGCAUUGGUUGGACUCUAUUUAACACUGACGGAAGAAUUAUAUUAGAAGGAAAAGCUGCAAUAGAGCCAGUCAACUCCCCACUAGAUGCAGAAGCUGAAGCAUUGAGAAUGGCUGUAGUUCAAAUGAGGAAGCUAGGAUAUCACAUAGUCACCUUUUAUGGAGAUUCCUCUGAAAUCUAUGACACUUUGUCUAAUUCUCAUCAAGCUUCACCCAGCAGCAUCAAAGGAAAUCACUGCCCAACUUACAUGAAAGAUAUUGUCAAUCUGGCAAAAGAGAGUAAUUACUGCUUUGGCUUUCAAAAAGUCAAAAGAACUUGUAAUGGUGUAGCAGACAAAUUAGCUAAAGAGGGUAGGAUUACAAACUCAGGUUAUGUUGUAAGAUGGAAAAACAAUGUGUAAUAUUUUGUAUUGUAUAAUAAAAAGUAUGCCAUCAAAAAAAAAAAA